rnacentral:rRNA from 1 species
AUUGAACGCUGGCGGCAGGCCUAACACAUGCAAGUCGAGCGGAUGAAGGUAGCUUGCUACCUGAUUCAGCGGCGGACGGGUGAGUAAUGCCUAGGAAUCUGCCUGGUAGUGGGGGACAACGUUUCGAAAGGAACGCUAAUACCGCAUACGUCCUACGGGAGAAAGUGGGGGAUCUUCGGACCUCACGCUAUCAGAUGAGCCUAGGUACGAUUAGCUAGUUGGUGAGGUAAAGGCUCGCCAAGGCGACGAUCGUUAACUGGUCUGAGAGGAUGAUCAGUCACACUGGAACUGAGACACGGUCCAGACUCCUACGGGAGGCAGCAGUGGGGAAUAUUGGACAAUGGGCGAAAGCCUGAUCCAGCCAUGCCGCGUGUGUGAAGAAGGUCUUCGGAUUGUAAAGCACUUUAAGUUGGGAGGAAGGGCAGUAAGUUAAUACCUUGCUGUUUUGACGUUACCGACAGAAUAAGCACCGGCUAACUUCGUGCCAGCAGCCGCCGUAAGAC